GUAGAAACACUGUUCCUUUCAUUUCAUGAUUCGUUUUGAGUACAUCAAUGAAACAAAGCACUACAACGAGCAGAAUAAUCGCAAAUAAAGAGGAAAUAACAACAGCAUAUCCCUCCACCCCAGAAUUUUUCAUGUUAUGAAUCUGCUCUUUAAUGUCAGGCCACAUCACGUAUGCGAGAAACCCAUACCCAAUUAUUACAAUCAGGUUUAGUAUCAGAGGACGGCUAUUCCCCUCCUUUGUAUUGUUCCCCAUCGCUCUCUCCAAUUCGAAAAUGGAAUCGUAGACACAAAUUUGAAGGAAAUUAGCAAAGCAGAAUUCACCAGAUGCAGAAAUAUCAAGAUUUAUGGCAUUUUUGGAAAAAUCAAGGAUGAAUUUUUAUGAAAUUAUGAAAUACACGAAAUUUAAGCUCACCUAUCGGAAGAAUCGAAGGAAUGUGGCCUCUUUUUUCAGC
rnacentral:misc_RNA from 1 species